AUUGAACGCUGGCGGCAUGCCUUACACAUGCAAGUCGAACGGCAGCACGGGAGCAAUCCUGGUGGCGAGUGGCGAACGGGUGAGUAAAGUAUCGGAACGUGCCCAGUCGUGGGGGAUAACGUAGCGAAAGUUACGCUAAUACCGCAUACGAUCUAUGGAUGAAAGCGGGGGAUCGCAAGACCUCGCGCGAUUGGAGCGGCCGAUAUCAGAUUAGGGAGUUGGUGGGGUAAAGGCUCACCACGCCGACGAUCUGUAGCUGGUCUGAGAGGACGACCAGCCACACUGGGACUGAGACACGGCCCAGACUCCUACGGGAGGCAGCAGUGGGGAAUUUUGGACAAUGGGCGAAAGCCUGAUCCAGCCAUGCCGCGUGCAGGAUGAAGGCCUUCGGGUUGUAAACUGCUUUUGUACGGAACGAAAAGGUUUGGCCUAAUAAGCUGAGCUCAUGACGGUACCGUAAGAAUAAGCACCGGCUAACUACGUGCCAGCAGCCGCCGUAA
rnacentral:rRNA from 1 species